GAUGAAGCUCCCUGACGGAACGGACUCUCUCCAAGAGUUUGGGUGCUCACUGCCUGGAAGAAGUUGAGCAGUCCAGCUGUUUGGGAGGCCGGGGACACCACCAUCCAUCUCCUCAGGUACCCUCUUGUUGCCUUCCCUCUCGAGGAAGCGGUUGAGGUGUUUCUUCUCCAGGCAGCAGCAGAGGCUCCGCAGGAGGUCAUCCAGGCGCAGGGGGCAGUCUUUCCUUUGCCAGGCUUGCCAGGGCUGUGGCUGUCAGGUGGUGAAUCACAGCCGUCUUCAGGGCGUGGGGGGAAAAGCCUUUGCUCACCAGCAUACGGGCGCGGGGCUGCAGAUGGUUGAGGUGGAAGCUGUGGGGUCAGGCAUGCCUGGCCGUGUGCCCGACAGACUGCAUCUGUGCCACAGCGCAGCUCUUUGGCGGCGCCGUGCUGCUGGUGAAGCUGGCCGCGGCUACUCCAGGCUCAGGAAGGAGUCCGAGUCGUCUAGCCGCACCCCAAGCGUGAUCUCAAUGGAGAGGGUGCUCUGGGAGGCGUUGGCCAGCCUGAUCUUGCAGGAGCGGCGGGAGGGCAGCACCGUCAGGCGGCAGUGGCGCGACUGCGGCAGAAGCUCCCAGGCUGCUUUCACCAAGGCCUGGAACCAGCGAGUGGUUUCCUCCACAUCCAGGUAGGAGCCGCUGCAGAGGGUGGGCCGGGCUUCCUCGCUGGCGUCUCCCCCUCGGCGCCCAGCUCCGGGUGGAAGGCGUGCCCGGGGGGAGGCCUCAGGGGCACGAGCAGGCGGUAGAGGACGUUGUCCUGCCGGGUACUCCCGUCUUCGGAGAAGCAGCCCACACCGAUGGCCGGCUGCAGCCGUGGCUUGAAGAGAGCUUCCCCGGAGAGUCUUUGGCAGGCACCAAGAAGCUUGUCCACCAGCUCCUCCACCACCUUGCACUUGUCGGCCAUGUGCGGCGCCGGCCACUGGGUGCGAUUGGCCCAAACCCUGCCCAGAUCCCGGGUGUCAUCGGUGUUGGUGUUGUCUUUGUCCUUCUUCUUCCUUGGGUAGCUGCCCUGCUUGCUCCUGCGGAGCCCAAGUCUCCAUUUCCUGAGCCACCGGCAGAGCCCGAAGAGCAGGACAAGGAGGUCAAUAAAGGUCCAGAGCUGCCACUGCUGCAAGGCAGUGAAGAGCAGGGCUCCCAAGGCCACCCCGCUCUGCUCCUGGCUCCUCUCCUCCAUCUCAUGCAGCAGCCGAGCCAUGCCUUCAAUCAGCUGCUCUGCAUGCUGCUGCAUUCGCUCAUUUGCAUCCGCAUCCACGUGAUCAUCCACGAACCACGGCUUCUGGGCAAUGCCCAGCACAGCCAGGGCGAGGAAGAUCAGCCGAGCCAUGGCUUGCAGGAGGUGCAAACUGCACACACCGACGGCCAAGGCCACAGUGUGGAGGCGCUUCUGCUGCUGGCGCUGAUGACAGCUCCCCCGCUGUGA
rnacentral:lncRNA from 1 species